rnacentral:rRNA from 1 species
CCUACGGGUGGCAGCAGUGGGGAAUAUUGGACAAUGGGGGGAACCCUGAUCCAGCGACGCCGCGUGAGUGAAGAAGGAUGUCGGUAUGUAAAGCUCUAUCAGCAGGGAAGAAAGAAAUGACGGUACCUGACUAAGAAGCACCGGCUAACUACGUGCCAGCAGCCGCGGUAAUACGUAGGGGGCAAGCGUUAGCCGGAUUGACUGGGUGUAAAGGGAGCGUAGACGGCGAUGCAAGUCUGAAGUGAAAGGCGGGGGCCCCACCUCCGGACGGCUUUGGAAACUGUAUGGCUGGAGUGCAGGACAGGUAAGUGGACUUCCUAUUGUAGCGGUGAUAUGCGUCGAUAUUCG